rnacentral:rRNA from 1 species
GAUGAACGCUGGCGGCGUGCCUAACACAUGCAAGUCGAACGGAGAUUCCGGACGGACGUUUUCGGAUGGAAGCCUGUAAUUCUUAGUGGCGGACGGGUGAGUAACGCGUGGGCAACCUGCCCUAUACAGGGGGAUAGCAGCUGGAAACGGCUGGUAAGACCGCAUAAGUCGGUUAAAUCGCAUGAUUUGAUCGGGAAAUGAGCAAUCAGGUAUAGGAUGGGCCCGCGUCCGAUUAGCCAGUUGGCAGGGUAAAAGCCUACCAAAGCGACGAUCGGUAGCCGGACUGAGAGGUCGGACGGACACAUUGGGACUGAGACACGGCCCAAAAUCCUACGGGAGGCAGCAGUGGGGGAUAUUGCACAAUGGAGGAAACUCUGAUGCAGCGACGCCGCGUGAGUGAAGAAGUAUUUCGGUAUGUAAAGCUCUAUCAGCAGGGAAGAUGAUGACGGUACCUGACGAAGAAGCCCCGGCUAACUACGUG